GCCAGGUAUGGUGGCACGUGCCUGUAAUCCCAGCUACUCGGAGGCUGAGGUGUGGGGAUUGCUUGAGCCUAGGAGGCAGAAGUUGCAGUGAACUGAGAUCACGCAUCACUGCACUCCAGCCUGGGCAGCAAAGCAAGACCCCAUCUCAA
rnacentral:SRP_RNA from 1 species